ensembl:lncRNA
GGCCAUCCUAGACCAUGUAGUCCAAGUGAGCUCGCCCAGAACAGAAGACCCACCCAGCUGACUCGUAGAAUCUUGGUUCCAAAUUAGGAAUGUGACCACUUGUGCCAGGGUUCUUAGAAGCACUUCCUCAUCCCUAAGAGUGGUCUUCUUUCUCUGGAUACUGGCGUGUUUGGAUUGUGAUGCCAAGGUUUUUUGCUAUCAUCUGUCUCUUGCCCAAGGAGGAAGCUGUUCUCUGAAGGAUGAGAGAGUAAAGAUUGGAGGAGCCUUGGAUCCUUCAUGACCUUGUUGUGCAACAGCAUCUAUCAACCUUGCCCUCCCUAUGAACUUCCUUGUUAUAUGAUAUAAUAAAUUUCCC